GUUGGUUUCCUAUCUUCUGCUGUGGUUCCCCUAUGCUUGUGUCAGUAUAGCCGAGGCAGCAGGGUACAAGCCUACUAGUUCCGCUGAAUACUUUCUCCACUCUGUACCAACCAUGCUCACAAAGGCGAAUGUUUGCGUUGAUCCUUUUAUCUAUUUUGGAUUCAACCCCCAGGUGAUUAGACCACCAUAGUUUCAGUAGAAGUAAAUAUGACUAUUUACUGAUAACACCGAUUGAAGAAUUUAUAUCUCUAAUUGGUUAAUCAGAUAGAUAGAUAGAUAGAUUUUACCUCCAAACUAUUUCUAUUGGUUCAGAAUAGACAACAAACACAUGAC